rnacentral:rRNA from 1 species
AGCGAACGCUGGCGGCAGGCCUAACACAUGCAAGUCGAACGAAGUCUUCGGACUUAGUGGCGGACGGGUGAGUAACACGUGGGAACGUGCCUUUAGGUUCGGAAUAACUCAGGGAAACUUGUGCUAAUACCGAAUGUGCCCUUCGGGGGAAAGAUUUAUCGCCUUUAGAGCGGCCCGCGUCUGAUUAGCUAGUUGGUGGGGUAAUGGCCCACCAAGGCUACGAUCAGUAGCUGGUCUGAGAGGAUGGCCAGCCACAUUGGGACUGAGACACGGCCCAAACUCCUACGGGAGGCAGCAGUGGGGAAUCUUGCGCAAUGGGCGAAAGCCUGACGCAGCCAUGCCGCGUGGAUGAUGAAGGUCUUAGGAUUGUAAAAUCCUUUCACCGGUGAAGAUAAUGACUGUAGCCGGAGAAGAAGCCCCGGCUAACUUCGUGCCAGCCGCCGCAGUAACAC